rnacentral:lncRNA from 1 species
AAUACUUUCACCUUGUACCAAUUAACAAAAACAAAUUCAAAUUCAAUUUCAAAACAUAUUACAAAGAUAACAUCUAUCAACUACAUCAUAAAAAUAUCUGUUUGUCUAAUUUUGAACAGCUAUCAAUCUAAUCCAUCAUGAAAAUAAUGCCAUCAACAGGAGUUCAUUCAUCUGACUUUGAACUUCCCUUUCCAAUCUGCUUCAAUUGCUUGUUUUUGAACAGCAACGCUGCAAUUUCAAGUCUGGCAUUCCCAGCAUCAAAUGACAUCGGCAUAUUGCCAAGAUCAUUGUGCAACAAAUACUGUGCAUACUUUAUCACAAAAACCCCACAAUCAUGCCUGUAAUAUUUAAAGAAGACAAACCAUAAGUAAUUACAAAAUGCUGAUGGAAAAUGAUAAAACUUGCAAUGCCCAUAACGAAACUUACCCAUUUUGUUGUUGGGGUAAACCACGGACAAUAUUAACAUGCAGUUCCCCAGAUUUGUCACCAAUACUAUCACUAGUUUCCUUCCAUAGCCCGACAAAUUUUAAAAGGUGUGUAAGAGUCUUCACAAGCGAUAAAAUCCCUUCGCAAACCUUGUUGUCCUUGUAUGAUUUGUUGCUUGAAUUAUAUAUGUAAAGAACAUGGUUAGUAAUAUCAAGCUGCCCUAACAUCCAAUGAGCAUGAUUUGUGGGCAUAAUGGGCAUCAACACAGAUUCAACUUCUCUCCAUGCAGUAUUAAAUGAUAACCGUUCACCAUUGAUGGUUUUGAUUAGCUCAUCCUUCUUCUCAACAAUGCUUGGGUCUUGAAUAAACUUGGAGUAUGUCGACUUGAUUGACAUAUCAAAUAUGCAGUCUGUAGUGGUAGCUUUCAUCUUCACACCUUCACCAAACUUGGCAAGUUGUCUUAUGUAAUGAAAGCAUGCAUCCAAGUGCUGUAAUAAGAAAGAAUAU